GACGAACGCUGGCGGCGUGCUUAACACAUGCAAGUCGAACGGACGAGUGAGAUAAGUUUACUUAACUCACAAGUUAGUGGCGGACGGGUGAGUAACACGUGGAUAAUCUACCUGCAACACCGGGAUAACGCUGUGAAAACGGUGCUAAUACCGGAUACGUUCCCUUGUGCGCAUGUAUGAGGGAAGAAAGCUCGGGCGGUUGCAGAUGAGUCCGCGGCUGAUUAGCUAGUUGGUGAGGUAAAGGCUCACCAAGGCGAUGAUCAGUAGCCGGCCUGAGAGGGUGAACGGCCACACUGGGACUGAGACACGGCCCAGACUCCUACGGGAGGCAGCAGUGGGGAAUCUUCCGCAAUGGGCGCAAGCCUGACGGAGCAACGCCGCGUGGGUGAAGAAGGCCUUCGGGUUGUAAAGCCCUGUCUUAUGGGAAGAAGUCAGUGACGGUACCAUAGGAGGAAGCCACGGCUAACUACGUG
rnacentral:rRNA from 1 species